UACGGGGGGUGCGAGCGUUGUCCGGAAUCACUGGGCGUAAAGGGCGCGUAGGUGGCCUGAUAAGGGUGUGGUGAAAGUCCGGGGCUCAACCCCGGAUCUGCCGUGCCGACUGUUGGGCUGGAGUACUGUAGGGGCAGGCGGAAUUCCGGGUGUAGCGGUGGAAUGCGUAGAGAUCGGGAGGAACACCAGUGGCGAAGGCGGCCUUCUGGACCAAUACUGACGCUCAUGCACGAAAGCGUGGGGAGCAAACAGG
rnacentral:rRNA from 1 species